rnacentral:rRNA from 1 species
GGGAACCUCACCCGGCCCGGACACCGCGAGGAUUGACAGACUGAGAGCUCUUUCUCGAUUCGGUGGGUGGUGGUGCAUGGCCGUUCUUAGUUGGUGGAGCGAUCUGUCUGGUUAAUUCCGAUAACGAACGAGACCCCAACCUGCUAACUAGCCCUCGGGUCCUGCUUCUGUUGGGCCCGACGGAAUGAUUCGCUUCUUAGAGGGACUCGCGUCGCCUAGCCGCACGAAGGGGGGCGAUAA